rnacentral:rRNA from 2 species
GGUCAAGCGAACAAGUGCAUGUGGUGGAUGCCUUGGCGAUCACAGGCGAUGAAGGACGCGGUAGCCUGCGAAAAGCGGGGGGGAGCUGGCAAACGAGCUUUGAUCCCCCGAUAUCCGAAUGGGGAAACCCACUCCUUAUGGAGUAUCCGUAACUGAAUACAUAGGUUACGUGAAGCGAACGCGGUGAACUGAAACAUCUAAGUAACCGCAGGAAAAGAAAUCAACCGAGAUUCCCAGAGUAGUGGCGAGCGAAAUGGGACCAGCCUGUACUCUUUAUCUUCAUUGUUAGUCGAAGGCUCUGGAAAGUGCCGCCAUAGCAGGUGAUAGCCCUGUAGACGAAAACAGCGAGGAAGAACUGGGUGUACGACAAGUAGGGCGGGACACGUGAAAUCCUGUCUGAAGAUGGGGGGACCAUCCUCCAAGGCUAAAUACUCGUGAUCGACCGAUAGUGAACCAGUACCGUGAGGGAAAGGCGAAAAGAACCCCGGGAGGGGAGUGAAAUAGAUCCUGAAACCGCAUGCAUACAAACAGUCGGAGCCUCGCAAGGGGUGACGGCGUACCUUUUGUAUAAUGGGUCAGCGACUUACAUUCAGUGGCAAGCUUAACCGAUUAGGGCAGGCGUAGCGAAAGCGAGUCCGAACAGGGCGUUCAGUCGCUGGGUGUAGACCCGAAACCAGGUGAUCUAUCCAUGGCCAGGAUGAAGGUGCGGUAACACGUACUGGAGGUCCGAACCCACUAACGUUGAAAAGUUAGGGGAUGAGCUGUGGAUAGGGGUGAAAGGCUAAACAAACCUGGAAAUAGCUGGUUCUCUCCGAAAACUAUUUAGGUAGUGCCUCGUGUAUCACCUUCGGGGGUAGAGCACUGUCAUGGUUGUGGGGUCCAUUGCGGAUUACUACGCCAUAGCAAACUCCGAAUACCGAAGAGUGCAAUCACGGGAGACAGACAUCGGGUGCUAACGUCCGGUGUCAAGAGGGAAACAACCCAGACCGCCAGCUAAGGUCCCCAAAUAUUGCUAAGUGGGAAACGAAGUGGGAAGGCUAAAACAGUCAGGAGGUUGGCUUAGAAGCAGCCAUCCUUUAAAGAAAGCGUAAUAGCUCACUGAUCGAGUCGUCCUGCGCGGAAGAUGUAACGGGGCUAAGCAAUAUACCGAAGCUGCGGAUGCACAUUUAUGUGCAUGGUAGGAGAGCGUUCCGUAAGCCUGCGAAGGUGCAUUGAAAAGUGCGCUGGAUAUGCAUGGUAGGAGAGCGUUCCGUAAGCCUGCGAAGGUGCAUUGAAAAGUGCGCUGGAGGUAUCGGAAGUGCGAAUGCUGACAUGAGUAGCGAUAAAGGGGGUGAAAGGCCCCCUCGCCGUAAGCCCAAGGUUUCCUACGCAACGUUCAUCGGCGUAGGGUGAGUCGGCCCCUAAGGCGAGGCAGAAAUGCGUAGCUGAUGGGAAGCAGGUUAAUAUUCCUGCACCAUUGUUAAAUGCGAUGGGGGGACGGAUCGCGGAAGGUUGUCCGGGUGUUGGAAGUCCCGGUCCUUGCAUUGGAGAAGGCGCUUAGGCAAAUCCGGGCGCGGAAUUCAAGGGUGCGAGGCCAUUCACUUCGGUGAAGAAGCAACUGGAAGUGGUUCCAAGAAAAGCCUCUAAGCUUCAGUUUAACAAGACCGUACCGCAAACCGACACAGGUGGGCGAGAUGAGUAUUCUAAGGCGCUUGAGAGAACUCGGGAGAAGGAACUCGGCAAAUUGGUACCGUAACUUCGGGAUAAGGUACGCCCCUGUAGCUUGACUGGCCUGCGCCAGGAGGGUGAAGGGGUUGCAAUAAACUGGUGGCUGCGACUGUUUAAUAAAAACACAGCACUCUGCAAACACGAAAGUGGACGUAUAGGGUGUGACGCCUGCCCGGUGCCGGAAGAUUAAAUGAUGGGGUGCAAGCUCUUGAUUGAAGUCCCGGUAAACGGCGGCCGUAACUAUAACGGUCCUAAGGUAGCGAAAUUCCUUGUCGGGUAAGUUCCGACCUGCACGAAUGGCGUAACGAUGGCCACACUGUCUCCUCCCGAGACUCAGCGAAGUUGAAGUGUUUGUGAUGAUGCAAUCUCCCCGCGGCUAGACGGAAAGACCCCAUGAACCUUUACUGUAGCUUUGCAUUGGACUUUGAACCGAUCUGUGUAGGAUAGGUGGGAGGCUAUGAAGCGUGGACGCCAGUCUGCGUGGAGCCGUCCUUGAAAUACCACCCUGGUUUGUUUGAGGUUCUAACCUUGGUCCGUUAUCCGGACUGGGGACAGUGCAUGGUAGGCAGUUUGACUGGGGCGGUCUCCUCCCAAAGUGUAACGGAGGAGUACGAAGGUACGCUAGGUACGGUCGGAAAUCGUGCUGAUAGUGCAAUGGCAUAAGCGUGCUUAACUGCGAGACCGACAAGUCGAGCAGGUGCGAAAGCAGGUCAUAGUGAUCCGGUGGUUCUGUAUGGAAGGGCCAUCGCUCAACGGAUAAAAGGUACUCUGGGGAUAACAGGCUGAUACCGCCCAAGAGUUCAUAUCGACGGCGGUGUUUGGCACCUCGAUGUCGGCUCAUCUCAUCCUGGGGCUGUAGCCGGUCCCAAGGGUAUGGCUGUUCGCCAUUUAAAGAGGUACGUGAGCUGGGUUUAAAACGUCGUGAGACAGUUUGGUCCCUAUCUGCCGUGGGCGCUGGAUAUUUGAAGGGGGCUGCUCCUAGUACGAGAGGACCGGAGUGGACGAACCUCUGGUGUACCGGUUGUCACGCCAGUGGCAUCGCCGGGUAGCUAUGUUCGGAAGAGAUAACCGCUGAAAGCAUCUAAGCGGGAAACUCGCCUUAAGAUGAGAUAUCCCCGGGGCUUCGAGCCCCUUGAAGGGUCGUUCAAGACCAGGACGUUGAUAGGUCAGGUGUGGAAGCGCAGUAAUGCGUUAAGCUAACUGAUACUAAUUGCCCGUAAGGCUUGAUCCU